CCCUGUGUCUUCUUUUCUCUCUCUCAAAGUUGGAAUACGAAGAAAUAAAACUCUAAAGCUCAUUACUCACUUGCUUUGGAUAUCCACAAGAGGAGCGACUGUUCUGUUGCUAAGGAUUUACUCCCCCGUCGUUCUAUAGUUUGUUCUGCUUCUUAGCAAAUUUUCAAGGGAAAAAAUGGACUGUCUUUUUGCCUUUGUGGGAUCUCUUGCUGGCAAAGCUGUUGAGUACUCUGUCGAGCCCACUGCACGACAACUUAGUUACUUAUUCAAGCCCAGGAGCAAGUUUCAGAACCUCCGGAGAAAAGUUCAAGACCUAAAGGAUGCAAGAGAAAGGGUGCAACAAUCUGUUGAAGCGGCUAACAGGAAGGGGGAGGUGAUUUUUGAGAAUGUUCAAAGUUGGUUGGAAGCGGUGAAUGAGAAGAUCUCCGAGGAUGCUGCAGCACAAUUGCAAAAGGAUGAAGAGAAAGCGAUGAAGAGGUGUUUUGCUGGAUUUCGCGCUGAUUUCAAGUCCAGUUACCAACUUAGCAAGAAAGCGGACAAGGAGGCCGAAGCUAUAGCUCAACUCUUGAUCCAAAAGGAAAACUUUGAUGGAGUUUCCCACCUUCCUGCAAUUGAAGCGAUAGACACUAUCAGACUUGUUGAAGAGUACGAGGCCUUCGAAUCAAGAAGGGGUGCUUUUGAUGAGGUCAUGAGUGCAUUGGAAGAUGAUAGAGUCAGCAUAAUCGGAAUGUACGGUAUGGGGGGUGUGGGUAAAACCACCCUCGUCAAAGAGGUCGCUGGAAAAGCCAACCAGGACAGCUUUUUAGUGAAGUGGUAUUGGUUACAAUAAAGCAAACACCAGACAUGCGGAAGAUCCAGGAGGAGAUUGCUGAGAAGCUAGGCAUGACAAUCAGCGAGAACAGCACAGAUGUGAGAGUCGCUCGACUUCGUGAAAGACUAGGGAAAGAGAACAGGGUUCUUGUUAUUUUGGAUGAUAUUUGGAAGUUCCUGGAUAUCAGGGCACUCGGAAUUCCUUCAGCAGACCAACACAAGGGAUGCAAGAUCUUAAUAACUUCGAGAAAGCUCGUUGUAUUGAAGUCGAUGGGUUCUCAAAAAAGCCUUCCAAUUGAUGUGCUGAAAGAAGAUGAAGCAUGGAACCUGUUUAAGGACGUGGCUGGUCCUAUUGCUGAAAGAUCUGACUUGCAAUCUACAGCAAUGGAAGUCGCCCAAAAAUGUGCAGGACUGCCACUCGCUAUUACAACAGUUGCAAAGGCUUUGAAACAUAAAGAGAAUUUAUAUGAAUGGAAGGAUGCUCUGGAGCCAGCUAAAACCCUCUGAAAUAAACUCCGAAGGCAUAACAGCUGAAGCAUAUUCAGCCAUAGAGAUGAGCUACAGAUAUUUGGAAAGGGAGGAACUUAAAUACACUUUCUUGCUCUGCAGUAUAAUGGAUCAUGAUGCUGCCAUCGAAGACUUACUGAAAUAUUGUAGGGGCCUGGGUUUAUUUCAUGGCCUUGACACGAUGGAAAAAGUGCGCAACAGAGUGUUGACACUGGUUAACGAGCUCAGAGACUCUUCCCUGUUACUUGCUGGUUCUACAUCUGAAAGCUUUGAUAUGCAUGAUGUUGUCCGCGAUGUUGCCAUUGCAAUUGCUUCUAGGGAACGUCGUUGGCUUGCUUUAGGAAAGGAAGAUGUAUUUGAAGAGUGGAAGGAUACAAUGAGAAACUCGCAUCUUGUUAGCUUAAAAUAUGCUAAGGUUAGUCAGCUUCCGGAUGAGUUGGAAUGUCCAAACCUUACAUUUUUCUUCAUGCAUGGCUUUGUGGAAGUUCCCAACAACUUUUUUAAGGGAAUGCAAAGACUCAAUGUCUUGGAAUUUGAUGGAACAAAUUUUACAACUUUGCCUUCCUCCCUUGGUUUCUUGAAAACUCUCUGUACAUUGCGUUUGAUAGAUUGUGGUCUGAAAGAUAUAGUCAUCUUUGGAGAGUUGGAAAAUUUGGAAAUCCUUGACCUUCGUUACUCUGGAAUAGAAAUGUUACCGGUGGAGAUUGGACAGUUGACAAAGCUAUAAUUGCUAGACUUGAGUGAUUGUUACCAUCUUAAAGUAAUACCACCAAAUGUGUUAUCUAAGUUAUCCAAAUUAGAAGAAUUAUACCUAUAUGAUAGCUUUGAUGGAUGGGAGAUUGAGGGAAUUGAGAAUCCAAGAAGCAAAGCUAGUCUUAUGGAGUUGCAUCAUUUGCCUCGUCUAGCAACUUUGGAAGUACAUAUUCCUGAUGUGGAAGCUAUACCGAAGGAUAACUUGUUUCUCGGAAAGAUGGAAAGGUUCAAGAUUUCAAUUGGAUAUGAGAAGUGGGAUUCUUAUUUUGACAGAGAGAUGAAGACACCAAGAAUGUUGAAGCUGGAGAUUAAUAAAAGUAUUGAUUUGGUUGAAGGCAUUUAUAAAUUGUUGUCCUGAAAAUUGAAAGUCUAUAUCUGCAUAUGAGGAAAGAUGUUGUGGAAAGGCUUUACGAUCUAAAUGCUGAAUCUUUUGAGCUGUUAAGAUUCAUAAAAGUCGAGAAUCUCCAAUAUGAUAGCAUUAAUUGUUGAAAAGGAAGAGAUUAGAGAGAAUGACACUCUGAAAUUUGAUAAAUUACGCAUCAAGUUGGAUACUCUGAAUGAAUUCAAUGGCCCGUGGUAUAUACAAAACACAUUUCAAUCCGUCACAUGGCUUUUUGAUAAAAAGAUUUCGUGUCCUGCCUCGAAAGAGUUGGAGUUGAACUCAAUCUACGACAUUGAGAAAAUAUGGCAUAUUGAUGAUGUUGACGAAAACGGGUAAAGAAAACGAAAGAACACGAGAAUUUUACGAGGUUCG